rnacentral:rRNA from 1 species
UACGGAGGGGACUAGCGUUUGUUCGGAAUUACUGGGCGUAAAGCGCACGUAGGCGGAUUUGUAAGUCAGGGGUGGAAAUCCCGGGGCUCAACCUCGGAACUGCCUUUGAUACUGCAAAUCUCGAGUCCGGAAGAGGUGAGUGGAAUUCCUAGUGUAGAGGUGAAAUUCGUAGAUUAUUAGGAAAGAACACCAAUGGCGAAGGCAGCUCGCUGGGACGGUACUGACGCUGAGGUGCGAAAGCGUGGGGAGCAAACAGG